CGGAGUGCUUACCCUGCAAGUAGGAACGAUGAAGCCCACUUGUGGGUGGAUUAGUGGCGAACGGGUGAGUAACACGUGAGUAACCUGCCCUUGACUCUGGGAUAAGCCUGGGAAACUGGGUCCUAAUACCGGAUAUGACCUUCCAUCGCAUGGUGGUUGGUGGAAAGCAUUUUGUGGUUUUGGAUGGACUCGCGGCCUAUCAGCUUGUUGGUGAGGUAAUGGCUUACCAAGGCGACGACGGGUAGCCGGCCUGAGCAGGGUGACCGGCCACACUGGGACUGAGACACGGCCCAGACUCCUACGGGAGGCAGCAGUGGGGAAUAUUGCACAAUGGGCGCAAGCCUGAUGCAGCGACGCCGCGUGAGGGAUGACGGCCUUCGGGUUGUAAACCUUCUUUUCAGUUAGGGAAGAAGCGAAAGUGACGGUACCUGCAGAAGAAGCGCUCGGCUAA
rnacentral:rRNA from 1 species